rnacentral:lncRNA from 1 species
GGCAGGGUCCCCAUUGCCUGCUGCACACCAGGACUAGCGACUCCCCUCGGCCUCCUCGCCAAAGACGCGGACGACUCCUGGGCCCCCAAGGGCUCCUUGCGGAAGUUCCUGGAGCACCUCUCCGGGGCCGGCAAGGCCAUCGGCGUGCUGACCAGCGGCGGGGAUGCUCAAGUGCCCAGGAGGCUGAUGCCACAUAGAAGACCUGCAGGUCGGUGGAUGUGAAACAGGCAAUGGACACGUUGUGCACCUUGGGACGCAUCUGAGAAGUGCGUGCUUGCAACAGGUCUGAGAAAAUCAUCCUGCACCUCCUGACGUAAGCCCGUACACCUCAGAGCACUCGAUACAGAUGGAGCGACCACAGGGUUCCACGGGGUCCCGGACAGCAUCCAAGUAUGGCGACGCGGAGCUUAGGGAGACCGGCGAUGGCCCACGGAUGACAGUAACCAGCCCCCGGGCUGGGGCGUCCUCUCCAUGCAUGGGCUGACCUAUGGAGUCAUUCGUUUGGACUCCGAAGAGAAGCUCUCCGUGCUCACCAUGCAGGAUGUCAGCCUCGUGAUGCCUGGAGCACCUGGCAAUCGCCAGCCGACUUCCGUUUCUCUGGAUUUGCCCAUUCUGGACACCUGUUGUGAGGAGAAUCGUACAGUGCGUGACCUUCGGUGCUGACAUCUUUCACGUCCAAGGUGAGUGGAAUCUCACAGUGAGUGACCUGUUGACAGAUACCUGGACUGUUUCUACUACUACGAAUAAUGCUGCUAUGAAGAUUCUUGCAAAAUAUUUUCAAUUUUCUUGGGCAUAUGCCUAGGAGUGAAAUUGCUGGGUUGUACGGUGAUUUCAUGCUCAACUUUUCUGAGGAACUGCCAGACUUUUCCAAAUCAACUGUACCAUUUUACUUCCCCUCCCACUAGCAAUAUAUCAAGAUUUCACUUUUCCCAAAUUCACCACCAUGUCACUGUCCAAUACUGGGGUUUUACCCAUCCCGGUGGUUGUGAAGUGGUAUUUCACGGUGGUUUUGAUUUCCAUUUCUAAGAUGAUGAAUUCUGCUAAACAUCUCAUGUGCUUUUUAAGGCAUUUAUAUGUCUUUCUUUGGAGAAUGUCUAUUCAAAUCCUUUGUCCAUUUUUACAUUGGAUUUUUACUAAGAGCUUUUAAAUAUAUUCAUGAUAUCAGGUCCUUAUCGUGAUAAUCUAUCCUGUUCUGUGGGUUGUCUUUUUACUUUAAUAGUAUCCUCUGAAAUGAACAUUUUUAAUUUUGAUACCGUCUUUUUCCCUUCAGUUGCUUGUUAUAGCUUUAAAUGUCUCAGCCAAGGAAACAUUGCCUGAUCCAACGUAGCAGUUUCACCACGAUUCUUCCCUAAAGGUGUCAUGGGCUGAACUGUCCCCCAUCUCAAGAUUCCCAUGUUAAAGUCACAACCCCGGAAACUCAAAAUAUCACUGUGUUUAGAUACAGGGCCUUUAACUUGGAAAUUUAGGUCACCUAAGAUCUUAAGAGUAGGCCCUGAUCCAGUAUGACUGGUAUUCUUUUGAGAGAAUUUAGACACAGUCCUCAGUGCUGCACGCACAUAAGAGAAACCUGUGAGGACACAGAGAGGACGCCGUCUACACAGCAUGGAGUAAGGCCCCAGAGGAUCCAACCCUACCUGCACCUUGAUCCCAGGCUGCUCAUGCCUGUAAUCCCAGCACUUUGGGAGGCAGAGGCAGGCGGAUCAUUUGAGGUCAGGAGUUCGAGACCGGCCUGGCCAACAUGGUGAAACCCCGUCUCUGCUAAAAUACAAAAAUUAGCCUGGCAUGGUGCUGAACACCUGUAGUACCAGCUACUAGGGAGGCUGAGGCAGGAGAAUCGCUUGAACUCAGGAGGCAGAGGUUGAAGUGAGCUGAGGUCACACCACUGCACUCCAGCCUGGGUGGCAGAGUAAGAAUCCGUCUCAAAAAAAAAAAAAAA